rnacentral:lncRNA from 1 species
AGCUUCUGCUAGUGUUUAGGUACUAGUGCAGUGUAGAACCCUUUUCUCAGGCAAAACCUAACAUCUGACCGCACCCUUUUUGCUAUUAAAAAAAAAAAAAAAAAAGCUUCUAUUUUUUUCCUCCUUUCGUUAAGAUAAAUUCUCCAGUAGACAACCUCUCUCACUAAUUGUGUAUUAGCAACGUAUUUUAUUUUGAGAGCUGUACACUGGGCUCUCAAUGUGGUGUGGAAGGUAGCCUGUUACAGUGCUGGAUUCAUAAAAGGGCCUUUAUGGUUUGUGAAAGAAUAUCUGUGUGCUUAGGGAGGAAACUUUUUGAUCUGCAGAAAAGCCAGAAAGAAGACAUCUAGGACAUCCAUAAAAAUUCUUCAGAGGGUGUUUUACUACUGAGCUGCAAAGGGAAAAACUUAAAAUGGAUAUGAAAAGUGAAGAAAGUGAUCAUAGGAGAAAACCAUUUCAGAUGACAAGAGCACCUCAAAGGCAGCAGCCUCAAGAAGCAGCCAUGGCCCCAGAGUUGUCCCACGGAUGCAGAAAACUUAAUGGAGGAGGCUGAGGCUGGAGUGCAAUGAUGCAAUCUCAGCUCACU